rnacentral:rRNA from 1 species
UACGUAGGUGGCAAGCGUUGUCCGGAAUUACUGGGUGUAAAGGGAGCGUAGGCGGGAAGACAAGUUGAAUGUUUAAACUAUCGGCUCAACCGAUAAUCGCGUUCAAAACUGUUUUUCUUGAGUGAAGUAGAGGCAGGCGGAAUUCCUAGUGUAGCGGUGAAAUGCGUAGAUAUUAGGAGGAACACCAGUGGCGAAGGCGGCCUGCUGGGCUUUAACUGACGCUGAGGCUCGAAAGCGUGGGUAGCAAACAGG